rnacentral:rRNA from 1 species
AUUGAACGCUGGCGGCAUGCCUUACACAUGCAAGUCGAACGGUAACAGGUCUUCGGAUGCUGACGAGUGGCGAACGGGUGCGUAAUACAUCGGAACGUGCCCGAUCGUGGGGGAUAACGGAGCGAAAGCUUUGCUAAUACCGCAUACGAUCUACGGAUGAAAGCAGGGGACCGCAAGGCCUUGCGCGGACGGAGCGGCCGAUGGCAGAUUAGGGAGUUGGUGGGAUAAAAGCUUACCAAGCCGACGAUCUGUAGCUGGUCUGAGAGGACGACCAGCCACACUGGGACUGAGACACGGCCCAGACUCCUACGGGAGGCAGCAGUGGGGAAUUUUGGACAAUGGGCGAAAGCCUGAUCCAGCCAUGCCGCGUGCAGGAUGAAGGCCUUCGGGUUGUAAACUGCUUUUGUACGGAACGAAAAGACUCUUUCUAAUAAAGAGGGUCCAUGACGGUACCGUAAGAAUAAGCACCGGCUAACUACGUG